CCUGUCCGGCUGGACAGGAACAGGGACCGAGUGGGUGGAAAAACCCUCAGACCAGGAGAGCUGCUCGGAGGCGACGUGGGAAGACCCCCAGUCCAAAGGCAGCUCUCAGCCACUUGCCCCCGGCGGUGCCUGCCGGGUCUGGAUUAUAGUUUUAGGAGGGAGUUCUUGGCUGUUUCAUCCAGUUCUGUCGAGGCCUCGAGUACCAGGCUGGCUCUGCGGGGUCGUGUGGGUCAUCAUAGUGUAUCGCGCCAUUCCGCUGUAUGAUUUCUGUUCCGUUACGUGUUCCAGUCUGUUCUAGGGCCUUCCGUCCCUCUCUAUGCUAUUGUGUUUAUUUAUUCACGUGACAGAUAUUUUUUUAAGCACCUACUAUGUGCCAGGAAGUGUUUUAGGUGCUGGAGUUACGACGCGGAGUAAAGCAAGAUCUCCGCCCUAGGAGGGCGCUGGGAGACUAGCAAGAAACAGAAGCCCAACGCCAGCAUUUACUGAGUUGGAACAGUGAGGAGCGAGACAGACAUGGUCCUUGCCCAAGAGAAGUGCCGAAGCCCAAUGGGGGACCCCAGGAAGCCUGGGAGAAGGAGCUGGGAAUGCUGGCUGCCUCUGGGGAGGGAGAUGACACCCCCUCAAACACAGUUUGCUUCCCCCACCAGCUCCGAAAAACCAGGGUCCAGCCUGGAUUGUUCUCUGCUGUCACCCCAGCUCCCAGCCCAAGGCCUGGAGACUCACAGGAUGGGUUUGCAGAAUGAAUGAAGGAUCUGUAUGGGCACUGGAUGAAGCGUCAGCAACAACUCCAGCUCAGAGGACGGGUAGGGCAGUGGCCCUCGGCCCUUGGACUGCUCAUGCCUGUGACAGGCCAGGCCCUUCUCGGAAUGGACACCCACCUCCUCCCCACCCCAUGGGGCAUGACAUCUCACAAGGUGUUCACAGCAUGGUUGGCACCAGCCCCAAAUGGAAACAACCCAAAGGUGCAUCUCCAAGGCCUCGUCGGAUCCGCCAGGAUCUGCCCAGACAGCAGAGUGUUCUGGGGCCCGGGAGAGGCAGGAGAUGCAGGGGUUCAGAGCACAGACCUGGGAGCCUGGCAACCUAGGCCUGAAUCCUCUGCCAGUCGCUGUCGUGUGGCAGGCGCUUCACCGCUCCGUGCCUCAGUUUCCCCACCCACAGAAUGGAGAUGAUGAGAAUAACGGCACUCGCUCAUAGGAUCACGUCGCCCCAUGAUCCACGUAGAGCAUGUGGGACUCUGGCCGGCACAUACUAGAGGAACCUUUGCUGCUAUUACUAUUACUAACAUGAUUAUUAGCAGUAGUGGUAGAAAUACGCGCUCAUCCAGGGGAGGGAGAAGGAAGGGGCAGGACAAACUGUAAAGCGGCUGCCACUCUGCACACUAUACACCCUUGUGCUAUUUGAGUUGUGUGUUGGGGGUGUUUCCCUAUGCACUUGUAGGUAUAUUCAAAACCAAACACACCAGAAAGCAA